rnacentral:tRNA from 1 species
GCUGGAAUAGCUCAGCUGGGAGAGCAGUAGACUGAAGCAGUUGCCUUAUAUGGGUAUUCUAAAGGUCGGGCGUUCGAUCCGCCCUUCUGGCA